UACGGAGGGUGCAAGCGUUAUCCGGAUUCACUGGGUUUAAAGGGUGCGUAGGUGGGCCGGUAAGUCAGUGGUGAAAUCUCCGGGCUUAACUCGGAAACUGCCGUUGAUACUAUCUGUCUUGAAUAUCGUGGAGGUUAGCGGAAUAUGUCAUGUAGCGGUGAAAUGCUUAGAUAUGACAUAGAACACCAAUUGCGAAGGCAGCUCGGUACACGAAUAUUGACUCUGAGGCACGAAAGCGUGGGGAGCAAACAGG
rnacentral:rRNA from 1 species